rnacentral:lncRNA from 1 species
AUUUAUCGCUUAGGUCACUGUUUUAAGUAGUUUAGGUCACUUAAACAUUUUGCGAAAAUGUUGGUUCACUACCAAUAUUAGUUAUGGAUUAUUUGGCACAUGAUGAACAUUUUAGUUUUCAUGUUUGAGAAAAUUUUAAAUUUUCACUCAGAAUUUGAAAUUGAAUUCAACUAGAAUUUGAAAUGAGAGGGAACCAAGAAUGACCAAACACUUGUUUAGAAAAAUGAUUAACUUAACUCCAGGAGUUAAUGUAGCAUCAUUACACAUGGGUGUUACAACUCUCCUCCUCUAAAAGAAAUUCUCGUCCCGAGAAUUAAGAGGUAGAAGGGAAAGAUGUGGGUAUUUAGCACGGAGGUUAUCCUCACAUUCCCAAGUGGAUUAAUCUUUAGUAUGAUUUGACCAUUGCACCUUGAGGAACUUGGUAACCUUCUGGCGGGUUCGACGUUCGGGUUCUUCAAGAAUGCGGAUCGGAUGCUCUUUAUAAGUGAGAUCAUCUUGCACUUCAAUCAAUUCCGGAACCACUUCACGUUCCGGAUCCUUGAAGCAUCGACGAAGUUGCGACACGUGGAAGAUGUCAUGGACAUGAGGGAACUGGGGUGGCAACUCUAGUUGAUAAGCCACCAGUCCACGACGGGCGAGAAUACGGAAAGGACCAACGUAGCAUGGAGCUAGCUUGCCCUUGACUCCAAAUUGAUGAGUGCCUCUCAAAGGAGUGACACAUAGAUAAGCUUGUUCACCAGGUUGAUAAGUUGAACCCCUAGUGUUUACGAUCAUAAUUGCUCUUCUGACGGGACUGGACCGCCUUGAGAUUAUCCCGGACAAUGCGAACCUGCUCUUCAGCUUGUUGAAUAAUGUCUGGACCAAUCAGUGUCUGUUCCCCAGUUUCUGACCAAUUCAGAGGGGUUCGGCACUUACGUCCAUAUAGAACUUCGAAGGGUGCCAUUUUCAAGCUGGCUUGAUAACUGUUGUUAUAAGAGAACUCCGCAUAAGGGAGAGAUUCUUCCCAUUUCUUGCCGAAAGAGAUUACACAAGCCCGAAGCAUGUCCUCAAGAAUUGGAUUGAGUCGCUCGACUUGGCCUUGGGAUUGGGGAUGAUAAGUGAAGGAAAUAUGCCCUAGAGGCAAUAAUAAAGUUGUUAUUUAUAUUUCCUUAUAUCAUGAUAAAUGUUUGUUAUUCAUGCUAGAAUUGUAUUAACCGGAAACUUAUUACAUGUGUGAAUACAUAGACAAACAGAGUGUCACUAGUAUGCCUCUAUUUGACUAGCUCGUUGAAUCAAAGAUGGUUAAGUUUCCUAGCCGUAGACAUGAGUUGUCAUUUGAUUAAUGGGAUCACAUCAUUAGAGAAUGCUGUGAUUGACUUGACCCAUUCCGUUAGCUUAGCACUUGAUCAUUUAGUAUAUUGCUAUUGCUUUCUUCAUGACUUAUACAUGUUCCUAUGACUAUGAGAUUAUGCAACUCCCAAAUACCGGAGGAACACUUAGUGUGCUACCAAACGUCACAACGUAACUGGUGAUUAUAAAGGUGCUCUAUAGGUGUCUUUUAUGGUACUUGUUGAGUUGGCAUAGAUCGAGGAUUUGUCACUCCGAUUGUCGGAGAGGUAUCUCUGGGCCCUCUCGGUAAUGCACAUCACUAUAAGCCUUGCAUGCAAUGUGAUUAAUGAGUUAGUUGCGGGAUGAUGCAUUACGGAACAAGUAAAGAGACUUGCCGGUAACAAUAUUGAACUAGUUAUUGAUAUACCGACGAUUGAAUCCCGGGCAAGUAACAUACCAAUGACAAAGGGAACAACGUAUGUUGUUAUGCGGUUUGACCGAUAAAUACCUUCGUAGAAUAUGUGGGAGCCAAUAUGAACAUCCAGGUUCUGCUAUUGGUUAUUGACCGGAAACGUGUCUCGUUCAUGUCUACAUAGUCCUCGAACCCAUAGGGUCCGCACGCUUAACGUUCGGUGACGAUCGGUUUAUUAUGAGUUUAUGUGUUUUGAUGUACCGAAUGUAGUUCGGAGUCCCGGAUGUGAUCAUGGACAUGAUGAGGAGUAUCGAAAUGGUCAAGACAUAAAGAUUGAUAUAUUGGAUGACUAUAUUCAGACACCAUAUGAGUUCCGGGGGUCACCAGUUAAUUAUCGGAGUGCCGGGGGGUUAUUGGAACCCCCGGGGGAACUAAUGGGCCAACAUGGGCCUGGUGUGUGUGAGAGAGAGGAGGGGGCCAUAGGGCUGGCCGUGCACCCCCCUUGAGGAGUCCGAAUUGGUGAAGGAGGGGGGCGGCACCCCCUAUUUCCCUCUCCUUCCUUUCCCUUCCCCCUCCUAGUAGGACUAGGAAAGGGGGAGUCCUACUCCUACUAGGAGGAGGACUCCUCCCCUCCUUGGCGUGCCCAAGGGCCGACCGACCUCCCCCCUUUCUCCUUUAUAUACGGGGGGAAGGGCACCCUAGAACACAACAACAGACAUUGUCUUAGCCAUGUGCGGUGCCCCUGCACCAUAAUCCACCUCGGUCAUAUCGUUGCAGUGCUUAGGUGAAGCCCUGCGUCGGUAGCUUCAUCAUCACCAUCAUCACGCCGUCGUGCUGACGAAGCUCUCCCUCGACACUCAGCUGGAUCAAGAGUUCGUGGGACGUCACCAAGCUAAAAUUGUGCAAAUCGUGGAGGUGUCAUACUUUCGGUACUAGGAUCAGUCGGAUCGUGAAGACGUACGACUACAUCAACCACGUUGUCAUAAUGCUUCCUCUUUCGGUCUACGAGGGUACGUGGACAACACUCUCCCCUCUCGUUGCUAUGCAACACCAUGAUCUUGCAUGUGCGUAGGAAAUUUUUGAAAUUACUACGUUUCCCAACAAUGGCAUCCGAGCCAGGUUUAUGCGUAGAUGUUAUAUGCACGACUAAAACACAAGUGAGUUGUGGGCGAUAAUAGUCAUACUGCUUACAGCAUGUCAUACUUUGAUUCGGCAGUAUUGUUGGAAGAAGCGGCCCGGACCGACAUUACACGUACGCUUACGUGAGACUGGUUCUACCGACGUGCUUCGCACACAGGUGGCUGGCGGGUGUCAAUUUCUCCAACUUUAGUUGAAUCGGGUGUCCUAUGCCCGGUCCUUGUUGAAGGUUAAAACAGCACAUACUUGACGAAAAAUCGUUGUGGUUUUGAUGCGUAGGUAAGAAUGGUUCUUGCUCAGCCCGUAGCAGCCAUGUAAAACUUGCAACAACAAAGUAGAGGACGUCUAACUUGUUUUUGCAGGUCAUGUUGUGAUGUGAUAUGGUCAAGACAUGGUUCUAAAUUUUAUUGUAUGAGAUGAUCAUGUUUUGUAACAGAGUUAUCGGCAACUGGUAGGAGCCAUAUGGUUGUUGCUUUAUUGUAUGAAAUGCAAUCGCCAUGUAAUUGCUUUACUCUAUCACUAAGCGAUAGCGAUAGUCGUAGAAGCAAUAGUUGGCGAGACGACAACGUUGCUUCGAUGGAGAUGAAGGUGUCAAGCCAGUGAUGAUGGUGAUCAUGACGGUGCUUUGGAGCUGGAGAUCAAAGGCACAAGAUGAUGAUGGCCAUAUCAUAUCACUUAUAUUGAUUACAUGUGAUGUUUAUCCUUUAUGCAUCUUAUUUGCUUAGUUCGAUGGUAGCAUUAUAAGAUGAUCUCUCACUAAAUUUCAAGGUACAAGUGUUCUCCCUGAGUAUGCACCGUUGCGAUAGUUCGUUAUGCCGAGACACCACGUGAUGAUCGGGUGUGAUAAGCUCUACGUUCACAUACAACGGGUGCAAGCCAGUUUUGCACACGCAGAAUACUCAGGUUAAACUUGACGAGCCUAGCAUAUGUAGAUAUGGCCUCGGAACACUGUGACCAAAAGGUCGAGCAUGAAUAAUAUAGUAGAUAUGAUCAACAUAGUGAUGUUCACCAUUGAAAACUACUCCAUCUCACGUGAUGAUCGGACAUGGUUUAGUUGAUUUGGAUCACGUGAUCACUUAGAUGAUUAGAGGGAUGUCUAUCUAAGUGGGAGUUCUUAAGUAAUAUGAUCAAUUGAACUUUAGAUUUAUCAUGAACUUAGUAUCUGAUAGUAUUUUGCAUGUCUAUGUUGUUGUAGAUAGAUGGACCGUGCUGUUGUUCCGUUGAAUUUUAAAGUGUUUCUAGAGAAAGCUAAGUUGAAAGAUGAUGGUAGAACCUACACGGACUGGGUCCAUAACUUGAGGAUUAUCCUCGUUGCUGCAUAGAAGAAUUACGUCCUGGAAGCACCGCUAGGUGCCAAACCCGCUGCAGGUGCAACAACAGAUGUUAUGAACGUCUGGCAGAGCAAAGCUGAUGACUACUCGAUAGUUCAGUGUGCCAUGCUUUACGGCUUAGAACCGGGACUUCAACGACGGUUUGAAGGUCAUGGAGCAUAUGAGAUGUUCCAGGAGUUGAAGUUAAUAUUUCAAGCAAAUGCCUGAAUUGAGAGAUAUGAAGUCUCCAAUAAGUUCUAUAGCUGCAAGAUGGAGGAGAAUAGGUCUGUCAGUGAACAUAUACUCAAAAUUUCUGGGUAUAAUAAUCACUUGAUUCAACUGGGAGUUAAUCUUCCUGAUGAUAGUGUCAUUGACAGAAUUCUUCAAUCACUCCCACCAAGCUACAAGAGCUUCGUGAUGAACUAUAACAUGCAAGGGAUGGAUAAGACAAUUCCGAGCUCUUCGCAAUGCUAAAGGCUACGGAGGUAGAAAUCAAGAAAGAGCAUCAAGUGUUGAUGGUCAACAAGACCACCAGUUUCAAGAAAAAGGGUAAAUGGAAGAAGGGGAAUUUCAAGAAGAACGACAAGCAAGUCGCUGCUCAAGUGAAGAAGCCCAAGUCUGGACCUAAGCCUGAGACUGAGUGCUUCUACUGCAAAGGGACCGGUCACUGGAAGCGGAACUGCCCCAAGUAUUUGGCGGAUAAGAAGGAUGGCAAGGUGAACAAAGGAAUAUGUGAUAUACAUGUUAUUGAUGUGUACCUUACUAAUGCUCGCAGUAGUGCCUGGGUAUUUGAUACUGGUUCUGUUGCUAACAUUUGCAACUCAAAACAGGGACUACGGAUUAAGCGAAGAUUGGCUAAGGACGAGGUGACAAUGCGUGUGGGAAAUGGUUCCAAAGUCAAUAUGAUCACAGUCGGCACGCUACCUCUACAUCUACCUUCGGGAUUAGUUUUAGACCUAAAUAAUUGUUAUUUGGUGCCAGCGUUAAGCAUGAACAUUAUAUCUGGAUCUUGUUUGAUGCGAGACGGUUAUUCAUUUAAAUCGGAGAAUAAUGGUUGUUCUAUUUAUAUGAGUAAUAUCUUUUAUGGUCAUGCACCCUUGAAGAGUGGUCUAUUUUUAUUGAAUCUCGAUAGUAGUGACACACAUAUUCAUAAUAUUGAAGCCAAAAGAUGCAGACUUGAUUAUGAUAGUGCAACUUAUUUGUGGCACUGCCAUUUAGGUCAUAUUGGUGUAAAGCGCAUGAAGAAACUCCAUUCUAAUGGACUUUUGGAAUUACUUUAUUAUGAAUCACUUGGUACUUGCGAACCAUGCCUCAUGGGAAAUAUGACUAAAAUGCCGUUCUCUGGAACAAUGGAGUGAGCAACAAAUUUAUUAGAAAUCAUACAUAUUGAUGUAUGUGGUCCGAUGAAUAUUGAGGCUCGCGGCGGGUAUCGUUAUUUUCUCACCUUCAUAGAUGAUUUGAGCAGAUAUGGGUAUAUCUACUUGAUGAAGCAUAAGUCUGAAACAUUUGAAAAGUUCAAAGAAUUUCAGAGUGAAGUGGAAAAUCAUUGUAACAAGAAAAUAAAGUUUCUACGAUCUGAUCGUGGAGGAGAAUAUUUGAGUUACGUGUUUGGUCUUCGUUUCAAACAAUGCAGAAUAGUUUCACAACUCACGCCACCCGGAACACCACAUCGUAAUGGUGUGUCUGAACGCCGUAACCGCACUUUAUUAGAUAUGGUGCGAUCUAUGAUGUCUCUUACUGAUUUACCGCUGUCAUUUUGGGGUUAUGCUGCAUUCAUGUUAAAUAGGGCACCAUCUAAAUCCAUUGAGACGACACCUUAUGAACUGUGGUUUGGAAAGAAACCCAAGUUGUCGUUUCUUAAAGUUUGGGGCUGCGAUGCUUAUGUGAAAAAGCUUCAACCUGAUAAGCUCAAACCCAAAUUGGAGAAAUGUGUCUUCAUAGGAUACCCAAAGGAGACUGUUGGGUACACCUUAUAUCACAGAUCCGAAGGCAAGACAUUCGUUGCUAAGAAUGAGGUAAUUGUACCCACUCCCUUAUUGGAAAGUAGUUCAUCACAGAAAUCUGUUCAUGUGACUCCUACACCAAUUAGUCAGGAAGCUAAUGAUGAUUAUCAUGUAACUCAUGAUGUGGAGGAUCUUAUCCCGCCAAUUUGUAAGCAUACCUACGCUCCUGAUGUUGACCCCUCCAACCUUAUAAGCGAUGAAGCUGUAUUCAAGGCCCUAACUAGAAUCGACUGGACCACUGUAGUGACCCGACCUCAGAUGGUCAAGUCUCUAUGCUUAAGUGUCAUCCAUGGAUCGGUAUGCUGACACACACAAUACUCGAGGAUUUAUAACAGAGGUAAAUCACAUGUAUAAAAUAACGUAAAUACUAUUACCUCAAUCCAAAUAGCGGAAGUAACAACAGGGUUGUGGAUUCCCAUCAACACCAACGACAAAGUUGAGUGUAGAAAUCGUAACCCUAACGUAUCACUUACUUGUUGUAAGAAUCCUGCCACAUGAUAUGUUGCAGCCACAAAGGGUCAGUACAUUGAAUGUACUGGCAAAUUCACACCAUAGGAUAAUGAUGAAUAAUAGCUAUCACUACAUGUAUAUUUGGCUAGUGGAAAGGCUCUAUGGUUAUAAUGUUUUUGUGAAAAGCCAAUUUUUCCCUACUACAAAGGAAUAUAUUUUAUUUAACUACAAAGUUGGUUGAAAAAUAUUGAGAAGGUUCCUCCAACUCAAUCCCAAAAUAAUAAUCAUUAACCCAACAAAUUAUUUAAGUAACGUGAUGAGAUCAAUAUGAUAAUCCAAGAACUAGAUACUCAAGAUGUCCAUAACCGGGGACACGGCUAACCAUGAUUAGUUUGUACACUCUGCAGAGGUUUGCGCACUUUUCUCCACAAGACGCGAUCGCCUCUGUUGGAUUUCUCGCACUACAAAGUGUUUGACAAACGGAUGACCGAGACAUAGUCUUUCAGGAACAUCAACUAUCUACUCCGGGCAGACCAUACCAAACCUACAACCCACUACCUGCUAAUCCACCUCUUCAAGAGUUUCACGUAACUUACUCAACUAUGCUAGAGCCCAUAAUAGCUUGUGGCUGCACACGGAAGUUUCUAGCAUGAAUAAUCUUAUGAUCCCUUUGCGCCUGGGUGGCGGUCCAUAGGAAAAUCACACGGGUACUCCGGGAUUUCCAAAAAAUACAGGCAACACUGGGUACUCCAGGUGCCUCAAUCCAUCCAGAUGUGUAUUUAAGUUGCCACCUUAAGUUGAACCAUUAAUUAACACUCUCACAUCUGUCAUGGAUUUCACUCACCCAAACCACGUCUACGAGCAUAGCAUAGCAAUAUAAGCAACGCGUAGAAGUAACUCCCAAGGGUUUGAAUGUAACAGGGCAAUAGGUUCUACCUCAUCAACUACUUCCUGAUACCCACAUGUUAUCAAGUCCUAACCAUGCAAUGUAUGAGGGUUGAAACUAAUGCAUAAAAACUGGGUAUGAAAGGGAUAUGAUCAAAGUGUGAACUUGCCUACAAUGUUGAUGAAGAUGAUUCACACUCAUAACUCUUGAUAGUUCUACUCGUCACACUCUGUUCAAUCUAUCGUGAGCAAGAAAUAGUAACCACAGAUAAGCAAUCACUCAGAAGAUCGGGAAGAACGAAGAAGAUAUUUCGGAAAACAUCAAAACCAAGCAAAUAACCCUUGCAACAUAAAACAAUAUCUAACAGUACCAAAAUUAUGUGAAUUUGCCCUUAUCAGAAAUUUUAGGUCAAGAACUUCGAUUUGCAAAAAGAAUCAACUAAAUCGGAGUUACGAAACUCAAGUUAUGAACAAAAGAAGUUUGAAUAUGAAUCCGAACAAAUUUUGAAAUUUGAAAAUUUCAAAAAGUUGACGUGACAGGUUAACUGGAUAGGUGAAAACAAGAUGAAACUAUAGACGUUGGCUUCAUCUAAUUUGGAUGAACGAGUAAAAAAAUAUGGCUAUUUGAAAAAUCAGGGCCAAGCUAUUUUACGGAAGUAAAAUAACUACGGCUGAGAAAAUUCUAUGUCUAAUGUAUAAAUACAGAGACUAAUUGAUAAUCUAAUUAUUCUAUCAUACUAGACUAGAAUUAAUAAGCUACGGAAGUAUACAUGAAGAAAGAUACCUUUAUAAGGUAGAGAAAAAAAAGGACUUCAGAGAGAGGAGACAAUUUCUAGAAGUCCCGCCGGAGAAAAGAAAUAAUUUUUCUUUAGUGAAUCUAGUCAAACCAAAAUAUUGAUUUAACCCGAGUCGGAUUAUUUUUGAAGGCUUUAUGGGUCUAUAUUUAUUGGUGUAAAAGAGGCUUAGAGGUCAAAGGCUAGGCAAUGUGAGACUAAACGUAGAUAAAAAGAAAAGAAACAAAGAAGAAAAGAGGCGGCUUGCAUGGGCCUAAAGGCCUUCGGCCGGCCGCGCGCACGCUGCGGCUGCAGCUUUUUUUCAAGAACAAAAUUAGGCCUAAGAAAAAACUAAAAAAGGCUGGCUGGGCCUGGCCCAUGUAGGAAAAGAAAAAAAAAAUAAAGGACGCCCGCUGGUACUAUGAUGCGCACGUGUGCAACAUUUAGCGACGGGCCGUACGUACAGUUUUUUUAAAUAGAAACAGAAGGAUAACCUGAAUAAAGGAAAAUAAAAUAAAAAUUAUAUAUAGGCAUAUUAUGUAUCAGAAUUUUCAUAAAAAGAUUCUCUACAACAUGAACAUUUUUGUAGCACCAAAUAAAAUCUACAAAUAUUCAAAUAAAGUAAAGAGUGCUACUGAUGCAAUAAAACCUCAUAAAAAUCAUUUUAAAAAUACCAAAAUUAAUUCAAAUUUAUUUCUCUCCAAUUUUCUGAUGUAGGGAAUCAUGUUACCCUAUUUUCCAUAUAUUUUAUUUUUGGAGAAAAAUAAUUUGAAUAAAACUCAAAUAACUCCAAAUUGAAAAUAAAUUCAAAAGAACUUUGAAUUUAAUUCUUUGAAACUCCCAACUCAUAUUUCAUAUGUUUUGAAGAAGUCAUUUUAUCUUCGCUCGUGAAAAUCAUUGAGUUGCGUAAGUUCCUGGGUUGGAAAUAUUUUCCAAAUGAAACUCAAAUAUUUUCAACACCCCUUGUCAUUUAAAUAAAUGGAAGAAGUCAUGUCAUCUUCUCUCCAGGGUUUUGUGGUGAAAAGAAUUUGAAUUCACGGAGAUCACGAAUGCAAAAUGAAAGUUUGGGAAAUUCCUUUUAUUCCCUCUCAUUUAACUUUCAAAAAGGUUUCGAAUUUCACUCAAUUUCACUCAGUCAAUCAAACAGUCAAUCAAAUCUAUCUAUUUAUUAUAACAUUCCAAAAUUUAGAAUUUGGGGAUGUUACAAACCUACCACCCUUAAAAUGAAUCUCGUCCUCGAGAUUUGGAGAGGCUAGCAAGAAAAAGGUUAGGGUUUGGGGGUCUCCUCAAAAUCCAUCAAUUGUCGCAGGAGAGGGUCUGGGGUGCUACCACCCUUAGAAGCAUGGCUACGGUUCCAUCAAAACUCAUAUACUUCAUCCGUAUUGUUAACAGUGUCGGUCUUCUCAGAUCUUCAGGAUAAUUCCUUAUCUGGGGUCUUUCGGUAGUGGCAUAACCUUUUCCUCAAUUCUCCUGUCUUUCAUCUAGGUAAGGUUCUUCUGUGACUGGGUCUUCUUAGCUGACGGGUUUGGAGCCAAUACUAAACAACUAUCGAUAUCUCAUGGUGGUCAACAAUUUAUGGUUUCUCCUGCAGGAAAUGAGUCUGGGUUGAACCUCACCGUAUAACCUACGGUUGGCAAAGUUGCCUUGUACAAGGGAAAAUACUUAUACCAUUCUAAGGUUCAAACAAGGUUUCGAUCGUCGUCGCUCUACUAUGGGUAAGUCACUCAGAUUUACAUCCCAUAUAGCAAGGCGAAUAAUAAGAGUAAGUCGGUAUGGUGAUCAAUCCAUCCCGCACCCAAAUCAUUACCAUGUAUACAUUUUAGCAAAUCUCGCAUUUUAACUCUCGGUCAUCCUCACAAGCAUUGCAGAAUUUCUCUUGUCGACGAACCAAGUUCGGAUAAAUCCAUUGAUUCUGCAAGCCAAACAAACAUCUAUCGUUUCUUCACAACUCUCAGAUUUUGUGUUACUCUAUAAGAUCGUCUGCCGAUAAACGUAACUUCUUCCAGAGUUUUUCCUUCAGCAAGAGUGUGCUUGCUCCUUGGCAGGUCCUGGGGCCUGUGGGUUAUGGCCCAUCUCAUUACUUGUAAUCCUUGAGCUCAUCGUAGGGGCAACUAAUUAUUUUCCAAACAUUCAGCUUCCUGGCAUUCUUAAAUCCUUCCAUUUGUACUGUCUCUCUUCCUUCUGUUGGUACCAAACUAAGACGUGAUUAUUCAAACUCAUCACGGAGUUACAAUUGCUCCAUAUUACCAACAUCAUAUCUCCUUUAUAUCCAAUAGUACUUCAUCCCUUCAUACUCCUGGGGUAUACCACAUAUCGAGAUAAAACUUGUACUUAUUUUGUCCGAAAUCCACUCAGUAGAAUAUCCUUAUCUUUUCCAGGGGUCAAUUGUCCUCACAGGGUACUACCACCCUUGAAAUGCACAAAUUCAUCCAUAGACCAUAUUUCUCAUAUCCUUGAAAAUGGUCAAAAAUCUUCUUCAUAGAGUAACAACUCAUAAAAUCCAUAUCAGUACCAACGAUGCUAACUUUAUUCAUUCUCCAAUGAUUACAAUCUCUCGCUUUUCCAUUACAUGUCUCAACUCAACACCUUGAUACAAAAGAGUUGUUCCCACUACUUCUACUACUACUACAUUACUUCUCACAGACACAACUAAUUAUCACAAGUCUCCUUCUCCUUGGGACAAUCCCUGGCAAAGUGCCCUGCUUCAUUACAACGAAAACAUAUUACUUCUGACAACUCCCGAGGUUUCCUUGUGAUUAUAUAGCCUCCUUGGGUCCUUGGCUUCCUUUUUGGGCAAUUGAUGAGGUAGUGCCCUGACUCCUUGCACUUGUAACAGGUGAUAUGACUCAGGUCCCUCCUGGACUCCAAUCGAUUUCUCUUCCUGGACUUUUCUAUUCCAAUCAGGGCUUCUAUUUCCUGUGGGUCAUAUUCUACUUCCUCUGUCGAGAAUUCUACUAGAUCCCCAUUCAAACAAUUUUGGGAGAUGUGUCCUUCUACUCCACAUGAAUAGCAAGACUUAGUGCAGGGUUUACUCGGGUCUUCUUUAGGUGUGUCCUCCACCUCUUCCUUCAUCACAGUUUCUUCUAAAAUUUCCAUGAGGGCUCCUUUCAUUACUUCUUUCUUAUGUUGGAUGGUUCGUUGUACCAUGGGGUAAAUGUGACACUGAGCAGGAUAGUGGGUAGUCCCUUUACACAAGAAACAAGUAAUCUGCCUAGUUGGGCAUUCUUCAACUGGGUGACUUCCUUCACAAUUAGGGCAUUCAUCCUUGUGUCCUUUAUGGGUGUGCUAUAUUUCUCCACAAAUCUUGCAUGCACAAGGUUUCUUCAUAUCCUUUCCAUAAGGCUUCAACUUCUGGGACACAAACCGAGACUUUGGCAAAGUCAACUUAAAUUCUUUCCAAGUGGUUACUCCUUGCCAUUCAUUGAUGGUUUGGUACAUCCUCCACCAAGUAGCAGCACCUCUUUCAAAGCACUGAAGAGCAUGCUGGGUCAUAUCUUUUCCGGCUAUAGUGUUAUUCUCCAUGUGAUCCUCCAUGUUAUGAAUCAAUUGGUCCGUCUCCAAUUGACUCAUCGGUCCAGAAAAUAUGGUUUCAUCUCCAUUCAUCCUCUAUUGGGUCCAAGGGUUUUUGGGGUGAGAGAGAGAGAGAUAGGGAGGGAUACACACAAUACAACCAAUGGUUUUUGAAAAGACAGAUUUUUAUUGUGGCUGUCGAAAAAAUAUCAAACAAAUGACAGCUCACAAUCAUCGCAUCUAACGUAGGUAUAUAACAGGGGUUUGUCUUCUAAAGAUUAAUAAAUCUUCAAAGUCAUUAAACUCCUCAAGUUUUGUUCAUGUCUCUGAUGGCUACUUCCGACCGUGCUUGUCCUUCUCAAGUUCUUUUGCCAGAUCAUCUCUGUCGAAGCGAAGUCUCUUGUGAUGUCCUUCAAUAUUCUGGGGUUGCGUUCCAAACUUCUGGGUUUCAACCUCCUUGGCAUGAACCAUGGUCCUACUGUCCUUGAGUUCCUGACAAAUCUCCGGUAUCUCGAGGUUGUAGCUCCUCCAGCUUGGCUAUUUUCAGCUUCUGGUUCCUGAGUUCUUCACGAAAUGCUUCCUUGUCUUAUACGGCUUCCUGGAGCUCCAUCUUAAAAUUCUUGAUGUACUACUCCAGAUCCUGGUGAUACCCGGCUAAGGUUAAAACUUCAUCUUUUGCUGAUACCUACAUCAGCCUUCUACCAUCCAAUCCUUCCAAAGAAAUGCAUGCUUAGCUCAGCUCGGUGACCAUAGUAUCAGUGACGAUGACAUCACGGAUAACCGUGUUUCUGCCCUUGUCAUUGCCAUGAGCUAUCUUCCAUAGUUGAUAUCUCCUGCCUUAGGGUUUUCUUGACAAAACUUUGAGUUAUCAUGCUCCAUGUUCCGGUCUUUCUCUGAUACACCUUGAUCUCGGGUAUUAACAGCUUCCAUAGUCUGAAAAAUUCCAAUAGGGUAGCCUUCCUAGGUCAUACAAAUCUAGAAAUUCUACUCGGCCUUCAAAUUCUCCUAGUCUUCGGAGUCUUCAACCGUUGCAGUUUCCAUUAUUAUAAUGCACGAUAAAAUCCUCUUCAUUCCGAAAUGAUCUUGGUUGUCUGAUAUCUUAUACUUCUUGGAGUGAUCUCAUCAGUUGAAUCUUCGUGUGGUUAAAAAGGGGGAAAGGGUAUUUGGUCUCACUAAAAGGGAAUAUUUGAAUAAGCUCAGAAGAGAAGAGAGGUAAAAGAUCCUUUUGAAAAGAAAGUUGUAGAGAAAAUAUUUCCUAUGGGCUUGCUAGUUUCUAGGGGUCACGUCCUACAGUCAACAUGUGCUCUGAUACCAUCUUGUAGUGACCCGACCUCAUACGGUCAAGUCUCUGUGCUUAAGUGUCAUCCAUGGAUCGGUAUGCUGACACACACAGUACUCGAGGAUUUAUAACAGAGGUAAAUCACAUGUAUAAAAUAACGUAAAUACUAUUACCUCAAUCCAAAUAGCGGAAGUAACAACAGGGUUGUGGAUUCCCAUCAACACCAACGGCAAAGUUGAGUGUAGAAAUCGUAACCCUAACGUAUCACUUACUCAUUAUAAGAAUCCUGCCACAUGAUAUGUUGCAGCCACAAAGGGUCAGUACAUUGAAUGUACUGGCAAAUUCACACCAUAGGAUAAUGAUGAAUAAUAGCUAUCACUACAUGUAUAUUUGGCUGGUGGAAAGGCUCUAUGGUUAUAAUAUUUUUGCGAAAAGCCAAUUUUUCCCUACUACAAAGGAAUAUAUUUUAUUUAACUACAAAGUUGGUUGAAAAAUAUUGAGAAGGUUCCUCCAACUCAAUCCCAAAAUAAUAAUCAUUAACCCAACAAAUUAUUUAAGUAACAUGAUGAGAUCAAUAUGAUAAUCCAAGAACCAGAUACUCAAGAUGUCCAUAACCGGGGACACGGCUAACCAUGAUUAGUUUGUACACUCUGCAUAGGUUUGUGCACUUUUCCCCACAAGACUCGAUCGCCUCUGUUGGAUUUCUCGCACUACAAAAUGUUUGAGAAACGGAUGACCGAGACACAGUCUUUCAGGAACAUUAACUAUCUACUCCGGGCAGACCAUACCAAAUCUACAACCCACUACCUGCUGAUCCACCUCUUCAAGAACUUCACAUAACUUACUCAACUAUGCUAGAGCCCAUAAUAGCUUGUGGCUGCACACGGAAGUUUCUAGCAUGAAUAAUCUUAUGAUCCCUUUGAGCCUGGGUGGCGGUCCAUAGGAAAAUCACAUGGUUACUCCAGGAUUUCCAAAAAAUACAGGCAACACUGGGUACUCGAGGUGCCUCAAUUCACCCAGAUGUGUAUUUAAGUUGCCACCUUAAGUUGAACCAUUAAUUAACACUCUCACAUCUGUCAUGGAUUUCACUCACCCAAACCACGUCUACGAGCAUAGCAUAGCAAUAUGAGCAACGCAUAGAAGUAACUCCCAAGGGUUUGAAUGUAACAGGGCAAUAGGUUCUACCUCAUCAACUUCUUCCCGAUACCCACAUGUUAUCAAGUCCUAACCAUGCAAUGUUUGAGGGUUGAAACUAAUGCAUAAAAACUGGGUAUGAAAGGGAUAUGAUCAAAGUGUGAACUUGCCUGCAAUGUUGACGAAGAUGAUUCACACUCAUAACUCUUGAUAGUUCUACUCGUCACACUCUGUUCAAUCUAUCGUGAGCAAGCAAUAGUAACCACACAUAAUCAAUCACUCAGAAGAUCGGGAAGAACGAAGAAGACAGUUCGGAAAACAUCAAAACCAAGCAAAUAACUCUUGCAACAUAAAACAAUAUCUAACAGUACCAAAAUUAUGUGAAUUUGGCCUUAUCAGAGAGUUUAGGUCAAGAGCUUCGAUUUGCAAAAAGAAUCAACUAAAUCGGGGUUAUGAAACUCAAGUUAUGAACAAAAAAAGUUUGAAUAUGUUGACGUGACAGGUUAACUGGAUAGGUGAAAACAAGAAGAAACUAUAGGCGUUGGUUUCAUCUAAGUUGGAUGAACGAGUAAAAAGUUAUGACUAUUUGAAAAAUCAGGGCCAAGCUGUUUUACGGAAGUAAAAUAACUACGGCUGAGAAAAUUCUAUGUCUAAUGUAUAAAUACAGAGACUAAUUGAUAAUCUAAUUAUUCUAUCGUACUAGACUAGAAAUAAUAAGCUACGGAAGUAUACAUGAAGAAAGAUAUACCUUUAUAAGGUAGAGAAAAAAAUGACUUCGGAGAGAGGAGACAAUUUCCAGAAGUCCCGCCGGAGAAAAGAAAUAAUUUUUCUUUAGUGAAUCUAGUCACAACCAAAAUAUGGAUUUAACCCGAAUCGGAUUAUUUUUGAAGGCUCUACGAGUCUAUAUUUAUUGGUGGAAAAGAGGCUUAGAGAUCAAAGGUAAGGCAAUGUGGGACUAAACGUAGAUGAAAAGAAAAGAAACAAAGAAGAAAAAAGGCGGCUCGCAUGGGCCUAAAGGCCUUCGGCCGGCCGCGUGCGCACGCUGCGGCUGCAGCUUUUUUUUAAAACAAAAUUCGGCCUAAGAAAAAAAAUGAAAAGGCUGGCUGGGCCUGGCCCAUGUAGGAAAAGAAAAAAAAGAAAGGACGCCUACUGGUACUAUGAUGCGCACGUGUGCAACAUUUAGGGAUAGGCCGCACGUACAGUUUUUUUAAAAAAAUAGAACCAGAAGGAUAACCUGAAUAAAGAAAAAUAAAGUAAAAAAUUUAUAUAGGCAUAUUAUAUAUCAAAUUUUCAGAAAAAGAUUUUCUACAAAAUGAACAUUUUUGUGGCACCAAAUAAAAUCUAGAAAUAUUCAAAUAAAGCAAAGAGUGCUACUGAUGCAAUAAAACCUCAUAAAAAUCAUUUUAAAAAUACCAAAAUUAAUUCAAAUUUAUUUCUCUCCAAUUUUCUGAUGUAGGGAAUCAUGUUACCCUAUUUUCCAUAUAUUUUAUUUUUGGAGAAAAAUAGUUUGAAUAAAACUCAAAUAAAUCCAAAUUGAAAAUAAAUUCAAAAGAACUUUGAAUUUAAUUCUUUGAAACUCCCAACUCAUAUUUUAUAUGUUUUGAAGAAGUCAUUUUAUCUUUGCUCGUGAAAAUCAUUGAGUUGCAUAAAGUUCCUGGGUUGGAAAUAUUUUCCAAAUGAUAUUCAAAUAUUUUCAACACCCCUUGUCAUUUAAAUAAAUGGAAGAAGUCAUGUCAUCUUCUCUCCAGGGUUUUGUGUUGAAAAUAAUUUGAAUUCACGGAGAUCACGAAUGCAAAAUGAAAGUUUGGGAAAGUCCUUUUAUUCCCUCUCAUUUAACUUUCAAAAAGGUUUCAAAUUUCACUCAAUUUCACUCAAUCAAUCAAACAGUCAAUCAAAUAUAUAUAUUUAUUAUAACAUUCCAAAAUUUAGAAUUUUGGGAUGUUACAACCACCAUUGAUUUCCAGCCGCUGGGUGGAGAGGAGGGUGAACCAGUGCAGGAUGAUCCACAACCGUCAAGCCAGCCUGUUGAAGAGUCAUGAUCCGGAGGCCGGUUUAAUCUUCUGCAUACUUAAUACUUGCUGAAAACAAUUAUCCUUUUGGACAUCAAAACACCUUGUAAUAGGCUAGUUAAAACACUUGAUCUGAUAUGCCAUCAUGCAUAUUCACUUUGCAUGAUCUUGUUAAUCUGUCGUGAUUUAUGUUAUGUCUGCUUAUGAUCCUUAGCAGCUUUAUUUGACCUGUUUCUGCAUAUAACAAAUUGAAAGUGUCCUGGCAGUUUAUUGACGGACGGGUCAUAAUGCCCAACAUAUAAUCUGGGUUUAUAACCAGACUAUUUUGAAUGACAACCAAAUAUGAAAUAUAUCAUACCUUUGACAUUGAAUCACAUCGUUGGCUAACCAACUUUCUGUAGUAAGGGUGAUAACCCAAAUCUUGAGUACUGAUAACUCCUCCUUGUUUUACCGGUUUAUAGUAAAGCCGUACUGGGUUGCAAUAAACACCGGAUUAUUCGUAUAUCAUACUGGCGACUUGUUAGUCGAAGCCAGACCAGGUCAAUCAACACCGGUUUAUAUCUGAUUGUAUACUGACGACUUAUAAUCGACAGCGAAGCCGGGUCAAUAGAUACGAGCAAUAUUUCAAUUUGUUCGGCUGACUUAUAGUCAAUAGCCGGACCGGGUCAAUAAACACCAGUUUAGUAUAAAACUCAUCAAAAUAAAUAUCAAAAAGAGAGAUUUCAGAAGAAAAUAUAUAAAAAGGGCGAGGCUUUUCAUGGGAUGCCAGGCCACCAAGUUAAACCAUUUUACAAAGCCUUUAUAAGAUGGACCUCACAUCAACCAAUCGUCAUUUUAACUAUGACAAGUUCAGGGUCUUUAUAAGAUUGACUUAACAAACGUUCGACGGGUCUACUAGGAUUACCUGGACGAAGUGGCUUACUUAAAAAAGGCAGGAUAACCCAGGGUUUUAGGUGAAUACACCUGGCUUCCAAGCCUGGCUUUUAUAGCCUAUUACAAGGUUAUAGACUCUUGUUCUUGUAGAAGCAAAGAGCCCCCUAGUAAUAUUUUGAGCUGUGCUCAGUGGGUGCCUAUGCUUGAGUUGUUCUUUGCAACAAACUCUCUUUGGCUCCUUUUGACCUUGGGUGGCAAGCCCCCAAGUGUUUUUUAUAUGUGGCUUAUAGCCGGAUCACUGGGUAAUUAAAACACCGCUUUAUAAACAGAAGCCCCCAUGUAACCAAAAACCUUUCAAGGAAUAAUAGCAGAAGCCCCGCUUUAGCAGGGAUGCCGGUUUAUUAUAUUGAUAUAAUAUAUACAUUGUCAAUAAUAAGUACAUAAGAGGAUCCUAUGGCUUAGGUGCAAUAAGGCCGAAGAUGAGCUAUAUUCCACAGCCGGUGGGUCUCCUCCUCCGAUUUACGUGAGUCUUUGUGCUCUCGGAUAUCGAUAAGGUAGUAUGACCCAUUGUGCAGAUUCUUGCUGACCACGAAGGGUCCUUCCCGUGGCGGGGAUAACUUGUGCAUAUCAGUCUGAUCCUGGAUGAGCAGGAGCACCAGAUCCCCUUCUUGAAACAUUCUGGUUUUAAAUCGAUGACUGUGAUAACGACACAGAUCUUGCUGAUAAAUCGCCGAUCGCGCUGCUGCAAUAUCAUGCUCCUCAUCAGGGGCGGAGCUUCCUUGGGGCCAAACCGGGCCAUGGCCCGCCCAGGAUUUCUGUUGUUUUUCUAUACCUAUGCUGCACUUCUUGGCCAGUCAACCACAUCGAGUAAGCCUCCAAUCUCACACGAGUGCACAGAGCAGGAUGAGCCACACGCAGCCGCCCAUGACUACUGCCGCCGCCGGCAUCCCGCACAGGCAUCGGCGCGUCGCACAGCCAGCCCCUCCUACUCACACACGCACAGAUCGCACAGCAUCCUCACGAACGCACGCACACACAGAAGACGGUAUUCCAUUGGUUGUACUGAGCACAAUUAACGCAUUUUAUUAGUUAUUCAUAGGUGUCAAUAGAAGAAGAUAUUUUUCCCUUGUGAAUCAGUGGAUGUUCAUACCUAAUGCUUUAUAUUCUUUUGUUGAAUGCAUUUGAGUGUAUGAAGUUUAUUGAAACAAGGUAAAAGAUGGUAUCGUGCCAGUGAGUAGCUCGCUGGUAACUGUUUGUUAAAAUUCAAUGAAAACAAAAGGGACCGAGUAGUGACUAAUGUCUAAAAAAUUUGUGCUUUUCUUUAGUGUGGCCCGCCCAACUUUUUCUUUGAAGCUCCGCCACUGCUCCUCAUCUAACAGGUCAAGUGCUUCUUGACGUGCCUUCUCAUUGUCGGCUUUAACAUAAGCCGCCACACGGGGUGAAUCAUGACGGAUGUCACUAGGGAGGACUGCCUCUGCUCCGUAAACCAUGAAGAAAGGUGUAUAACCCGUAGAUCUGUUGGGCGUGGUAUUGAUGCUCCAUAACACAGAAGGUAACUCCUCCACCCAACAACCCGGCGUCCGCUUUAAAGGAACCAUAAGUCGGGGCUUGAUGCCUCUCAGGGUCUCUUGAUUGGCUCUCUCUGCUUGACCAUUAGAUUGGGGAUGAGCCACUGAUGACACGUCAAGCCGAAUGUGCUCACGUUGACAAAAUUCUUCCAUAGCACCCUUGGAUAGAUUAGUACCACUAUUUUUUAUAAUGUUGUGUGGAAAACCAAACCGGAAAAUCACCUUCUUGAUGAAUUGAACCACCAUGGCUUCAUCACACUUAGUGACUGGCUCUGCCUCCACCCACUUAGUGAACUUAUCAACCGCCACCAGAAGGUGGGUCUUCUUAUCCUUGGACCUCUUAAAGGGCCCAACCAUAUCCAGCCCCCAAGUUGCAAACGGCCAAGUAAUUGGAAUCAUCCUCAAUUCUUGAGCCGGAACAUGGGCGCGGCGUGCAAACUUCUGACAACCAUCACACCUAUUUACCAAGUCCUCAACAUCAGCAUGAGCCGUCAACCAAUAGAAGCCGUGAUGAAAAGUCUUAGCUACCAAGGAUUUUGAACCGGCGUGGUGACCACAAUCUCCUUCGUGGAUCUGACGCAAAAUCUCAUAGCCUUAUUCAGGAGACACACAACGUUGAAAUGCCCCUGUUACACUGCAAUGAUGCAAUUCCCCAUUGACAAUGGUCAUUGACUUGGAUCGCCGGAUUAUCUGCCUGGCCAAAGUUUUGUCCUCUAGUAACUCGCCCCGGUUCAUAUACGCCAAAUAUGGGGCCGUUUAAUCCGAGAUAACAUGAAGAGCUGCCACAACUUAGCCUCCGGGUCAGGAACAGCCAAAUCCUCCUCCGUAGGUAGCUUGACCGACGGGUUAUGCAAAACAUCCAGAAAAACAUUAGGUGGAACCGGUUUAUGCUGGGAACCCAAACAACUUAAAGCAUCCACCGCUUCAUUCUUUCGCCGGUCCACAUGGUCAACCUGAUAACCCUUGAAGUGACAUGCAACAACAUCUACUUCUCGACGAUACGCUUCCAUGAGAGGGUCCUUGGAAUCCCAAGUCCCAGAUACUUGUUGAGCCACCAGGUCUGAGUCACCAAAGCACUUAACCCGGCUUAGAUUCAUCUCCUUAGCCAUUCGAAGACCAUGGAGUAGAGCCUCAUAUUCAGCUGCAUUGUUAGUGCAAGGGAACAUCAAACGGAGAACAUAACAAAACUUAUCACCUCGUGGGGAAGUUAACACGACUCCAGCCCCCGAGCCCUCCAAUUGCCUGGACCCAUCAAAAUGAAUAGUCCAAUAAGUAUGAUCCGGCUUUUCCUCCGGUGCCUGUAAAUCUGUCCAGUCAUUGAUAAAAUCCACAAGUGCUUGGGACUUGAUUGUCGUACGAGGCACAUAUUUCAACCCGUGAGGUCCAAGCUCAAUAGCCCACUUGGCAACUCGACCAGUUGCCUCCUUGUUCUGGAUUAUAUCUCCCAAAGGGGCAGAACUGACCACCGUGAUGGGAUGACCUUGAAAAUACUGCUUGAGCUUCUGGCUUGCCAUGAAAACUCCAUACACCAAUUUCUGCCAAUGUGGGUACCUCUGUUUGGACUCAAUGAGAACCUCACUGAUAUAAUAAAUCGGCCGUUGAACCGGAUACUCCUUCCCAACUUCCUUGCACUCCACCACAAUGGCCACACUAACAGCCCGGGCAUUAGCAACCACAUAUAACAACAGCGACUCUUUAUCGACCGGAGCAGCAAGGAUAGGUGGCUCAUCUAACUAUUUUUUCAAGUCCUCGAACACCGCAUUAGCAGCAUCACUCCAGACAAAAUUGUCUGUCUUCUUCACCAUCUUAUAUGAGGGAUUGCUUUCUCUCCCAGAUGGCUGAUAAACCGGCUCAAUGCUGCAAUACGGCCCGCCAGAUGUUGAACAUCAUUGAUACAUGCCGGUUUAGCCAGAGACGUAAUAGCUUCGAUCUUUUACGGAUUAGCUUCAAUACCACUGUUAGACACUAGAAAACCCAAGAGCUUGCAUGCCGGAACACCAAAAACACACUUGGCUGGAUUAAGCAUCAUCUUAUAGACCCGAAGAUUAUCAAAGGUUUCCUUCAAGUCAGUUAUCAACGUCGCCUCCUUUCUGGACUUCACCACAAUAUCAUCCACAUAAGCAUGAACAUUGCGCCCAAUAUAGUCAUGAAGAUAAUUCUGCACACAGCCCUGAUAAGUCGCCUGGGCACUCUUAAGCCCAAAAGGCAUAGAUACAUAGCAGAAGGCUCCAAAGGGAGUUAUAAAAGAUGUCUUCUCCUGGUCCUUAACUGCCAUUUUGAUUUGAUGAUAACCAGAAUAAGCAUCCAGAAAUCUCAAACGCUCACAACCUGUCAUAGCAUCAAUGAUUUGAUCAAUACGAGGGAGAGCAAAGGGAUCAGCUCGACAAGCCUUGUUCAAGUCUGUGUAGUCCACACACAUCCGCCAAGUGUCGUUCUUCUUAAGCACUAGCACCAGGUUAGCUAACCACUCAGGGUGAAAAACCUCCACAAUAAACCCUGCUGCCAAGAGCCGGGCUACCUCCUCACCCAUAACCUUACGCCUUUCUUCAUUGAAGCGACGGAGAAACUGCCUGGCCGGUUUAAACUUAGGAUCAAUAUUAAGAGUGUGCUCAGCGAGUUCCCUCGGUACACCUGGUAUGUCAGAAGGUUUCCAUGGAAAGAUGUCAUGGUUCUCAUGGAUGAACUCGAUGAGCGCGCUUUCCUAUUUCUAAUACAGGUUGGAGAUGAUGCUAAACUGCUUAGAUGAAUCGCCAGGAACAAAGUCAACCGGCUUCGUCUCAUCAGCCGAUUUAAACUUCAAGGCCGGAUCAUGCUCCUUAGUUGUUUUUUUCAAAGAAGUCAUAUCUGCCGGAUCAACAUUGUUGUUGUAGAACUUCAACUCCUCUGUUGCACAAACCGACUCAGCAUAAACCGCAUCACCUUCUUCACAUUUCAAAGCAAUCUUACGACUCCAGUGUACCGUAAUUGUCCCCUUAUGACCCGGCAUGUUGAGCUGCAGAUUUACAUAACAGGGCCUUGCCAUGAACUUAGCAUAAGACGGCCGUCCAAACAGGGCAUGAUAUGGGCUCUUGAUUUUGACCACUUCGAAAGUCCAUGUCUCUGAUCUUGAAUCAUGAUCAUCUCCAAAAGCAACCUCCAGAGCUAUCUUACCAACUGGAUAUGCCGAUUUACCAGGUACCACACCAUGGAAAACAGUGUUCGACGGUUUCAGAUUUUUAUCUGUCAACCCCAUGCGACGGAAGGUUUCAUAAUAAAGGAUAUUGAUACUGCUCCCUCCAUCCAUGAGCACCUUGGUGAACUUGUACCCUCCCACCUGAGGCGCCACCACCAAUGCCAAAUGACCAGAUUAUCAACCCGGGGUGGAUGAUCCUCUCGACUCCACAAAAUGGGAUGUUCAGACCAGCGCAGAUAACGGGGCACUGCCGGUUCAAUAGAGUUUACUACCCUUUUAUGAAGCUUCUGAUCAUGCUUGCAUAAGCUAGUGGUGAAGACAUGAUACGGCCCACUAUUCAACUACUUCAGAUUACUCUGGUAACCUGACCGCUGCUGCUGCUGACUGCCCUGAUGAUUAUAACCACCCUGGUUACCUUGACUGCCUUGAUUGCCAUGUUCGCUUUGGUUGCCUUGAAAUCUUGAACCAGAACUGCCUCCACCAUAACCCGGCCCGUGAGAACCGCCUCCUAAACCUCCUGGCGGUCCAUGAUCGUAUUGGAAAAGAUCCGAGUUUUUGAACUCCCACAUAAUAAAGCAAUACUUCCAAAGGUGUGUGGCUGGUCUCUCUCACAUCACGUGCCUUGGGCAGGGCUUGUUUAACAGGCGCUCGAGAUUGACACUUGACCCUCCACCCCGCGGGGGUGGUUUACCCUUGCGACGCUGAUUGUUAUUCUGCGUGUUGGUAUUAGCCACAAAAUCCAAACUAUUAUCUGCUUUGCGCUUACCGUUGUUUCCAUGACCCGUCGGGUUAUGCCGCUGCCCCUUAUUACUGCCACUCUUCUUUCCCUUCCCCGACUUUUCAUCAUCAGACUCAGGGUCCUUGGUACUAUCAGAGUCGGCAUACUUAACCAGAGCUGCCAUAAGCGUUCCCAUGUCAUUGCAGUGACGCUUGAUCCGUCCUAAUUUCAGCUUCAAAGGCAUGAACCGGCAAUUGCCCUCCAAUGUUAAGACUGUUGUAUCAGCGUUAAUGCGGUCCGAUGAAUGCAAGAUUUCCGAAACCCGGCGCAUCCAAUGGGUUGUCGAUUCACCUUCUUCUUGGACACAGGCGGCUAAGUCUACAAUUGACAUGGGCUGCUUGCACGUGUCCUUGAAAUUCUGGAUAAACCGGGCCUUUAACGCAGCCCACGACCUGAUGGAGUUAGCUGGCAAACUUUUCAGUCAAGUGCGAGUUGUUCCUUCCAACAUCAUGGUGAAGUAUUUAGCACAGGCCGCACCAUCCACAUCCAGCAUCUCCAUUGCCAUCUCAUAGCUUUGGAUCCAUGACUCGGGGGGUAAAUUGGCAGUAUAAUUGGGCACUUUGUGGGGCCCUUUGAAAUCCUUGGGCAGCCGUACAUUACGUAGAGCCGAGACGAGACACGGCACCCCCAAAGAGCUAGAGGUAACUCCUGGCUCCAUCGAAGUUGUUGGCCGAACCAGAGUACGCUAACGGGUCGCGUACUGCACCGCUAACUCGGCUUCUCGACGCGCUCUGCCCUGAUCCACCAAAUCCCUAGCAUUAGUACCACCACCUAUCGGAUUAUGCCCUCAAGGUGGGUUACGGUCCCGCGCACUGCUUGACACGGCCGGUUCAUCAAAGUGCCUGUUGUAACUCCGGCUUGGGAGGGGGUGGAAUGAAUCCUCUCGCAGCUGUGUGAAUACGCCUGUUGCUGAGUCAAAUCUGUCUGAAGAAGCUCCCUUGCCCGUCGCGUCUCAACCGCUACGGGGGACUCACCUUCGACUGGGAGGGCUGCCAAUCGUGAAUCAGCAGCGGCUAUGUUAUCCAAGGGGUUAGAGUAAUGACCCGGAGGCGUUGACAUGCGUUGGGACGGGAUAUUCUGACGAGGCGGAUCCACUAUGCGCGGCUGAACCGGCGCCCCCGUUCCAGGUGCUUCUACCCGGUUUACCACUGGCUGGUUACUGGUUCCUACUCCUGGCGUGUUAAAGAGAUUCCUUGGCUCAUAAACCGGAGGUAGGUGGGACUGGUACCUUCUCCUCAUUACAUCAUUUGAUGCGUUCUGAUCCAGCAUAAGUUGAUACGCCUGUGCAUCCAACUCGGCCCGCUCCGUAGCCAUCCUGGUGUUCUCGGCUGCCAGGUCUGCCUUGGCUUGAGCUAUCUGAUCCUUCACUUUUGCAACUUCUACAUUAUGUUGAUCCUGAUUCGCCGUGUUAACUUCAGCCGCUAGCAGUGUUGCCAAAGCGUCGAACAAAUCAGACAAAACCGGAGGCGGAGGUGGAGCAGGGCCUCCUGCCCCAGCUACUGUCGCUGCUGCUGAACCGAAGGUCAUCGCUGCCGCGGUUGAAGAAUGUUGCGCUGAGUGUGUACCGGCCAUGAAGACCGCAACUCGGCUCGGCGGAUCAAGGGGGUCCGGAAUACUGUCGCCAUCGGAACAGCCCCCAAACCGGCCAUCUUGCAGUUGGUACAAUGACUCGGUCUCUUUGGUAGAUGAUUCGUCAUCAGAGUAAACGACGGUUUCACCACCAGAUACCGAUCUAUCCGCAGAUUCCACUCCAUGGAUGACUCCCACGAAGGCACGCUUCAUUGCAGGCUGAACCCGGGCGGAUCUCGCAUGCUGAGCUAUUUCAACGAUGUCGGUGCAGAUGUGCGGCUCAGGGCCCGGUUCGCCUAUCUUGCCAAUGAAAACAUGAAUACCGCCGAAGGGGACCCGAUAUGCAUACUCAAUUGAACCGGCCUCGGGGCCCCGGCCUUCAUCGUCGACGUAGAGCUUGUCGCGAUGACUCUCGGUCAUCCGGCCCACAACGUAUCCCUUGAGCCCUUCGAAGCUGCCCUCUAAGAACUUGAAACCAUCGUGCGAUAGCCCCAUGGUGGGAGCCAACUGUCAUGGGAUUGUCACGACAGAUGUCCUAGUGUGAGGACUUUGUCGUGGAGCCAUCGCAACGUAGUUAGCUUAAAGGGGUUAAAGCGGACGAAGGACGCGAGGAAUUAUACUGGUUCGGCCCCUUGCGGUGAAGGUAAAGCCUACUCCGGUUAUGAUGGGAUUGCUAGGGUUUCGAUGACCAGGGAGCGAAUCCGCUUUGCCUGGCUCUCGAGUUGUUGUUUCUUGUCCUUAUACCGCCGCCAGUUCAUCCCUUUAUAUACACAUAUUGAUGCCCGAUGGUUUACAGAAUCCCGGCCGGCUCAUAAAUGUGUCUGUCUCAGUUUCUAUCCUUUCCUAUCUUACAACACACGUUACACACCUUAUGGCGGUUUAUGUCUACGGGCUCUAAUCCGCCUUUGGGCCCUGGGCCUUUAGACCUCUUAUAGUAAAGUUCCAUGCUCCUUGUCUUCACGGGCUUCAAUAUGGAUAACUCCUUAUGAGUAUAACCCGGCCCCUCCUGGACGGUUUAUACCCAGUAGUUAUAUCUCCAACACUACCGAACCUCAUAGGUCAGCCAGAGUAAGAUCCGCACUAGAGUGGUAUGGUAAUCCUGUUCUGGAGGUCAUGUUACUUGACCAUGAAGAACCUAUGAAGUAUGAGGAAGCGAUGAUGAGCCCAGAUUCCGCGAAAUGGCUUGAGGCCAUGAAAUCUGAGAUGGGAUCCAUGUAUGAGAACAAAGUGUGGACUUUGGUUAACUUGCCCGAUGAUUGGUAAGCCAUCGAGAAUAAAUGGAUCUUCAAGAAGAAGAUUGACGCUGACGGUAAUGUUACUGUCUACAAAGCUCAACUUGUUGUGAAAGGUUUUCGACAAGUUCAAGGAGUUGACUACGAUGACACAUUCUCACCCGUAGCGAUGCUUAAGUCCGUCCGAAUCAUGUUAGCAAUUUCUCAUAAUUUGGCAAAUGGAUGUAAAGACUGCAUUCCUGAAUGGAUUUCUGGAAGAAGAGUUGUAUAUGAUGCAACCUGAAGGUUUUAUCGAUCCAAAUAAUGCUAACAAAGUGUGCAAGCUCCAGCGAUCCAUUUAUGGACUGGUGCAAGCAUCUCGGAGGUGGAAUAAACGUUUUGAUAGUGUGAUCAAAGCAUAUGGUGUUAUACAGACUUUUGGAGAAGCAUGUAUGUAUAAGAAAGUGAGUGGGAGCUCUGUAGCAUUUCUAAUAUUAUAUGUGGAUGACAUAUUGUUGAUUGGAAAUGAUAUAGAAUUUCUAGAUAGCAUAAAAGGAUACUUGAAUAAGAGUUUUUGAAUAAAAGACCUCGGUGAAGCUGCUUAUAUAUUGGGCAUUAAGAUCUAUAGAGAUAGAUCAAGACACUUAAUUGGACUUUAAUAGAGCACAUACCUUGACAAAGUUUUGAAGAAGUUCAAAAUGGAUCAAGCAAAGAAAGGGUUCUUGCCUGUGUUACAAGGUGUGUAGUUGAGUCAGACUCAAUUCUCGACCACUGCAGAAGAUAGAGAGAAAAUGAAAGUCAUUCCCUAUGCUUCGGCCAUAGGUUCUAUCAUGUAUGCAAUGCUGUGUACCAGACCUGAUGUGUGCCUUGCUAUUAGUUUAGCAGGGAGGUACCAAAGUACUCCAGGAGUGGAUCACUGGACAACGGUCAAGAACAUCCUGAAAUACCUGAAAAGGACUAAGGAUAUGUUUCUCGUUUAUGGAGGUGAUAAAGAGCUCGUCGUAAAUGGUUACGUUGAUGCAAUCUUUGACACUGCUCCGGAUGACUCUAAGUCACAUACCGGAUACGUAUUUAUAUUGAAUGGUGGAGCUGUAAGUUGGUGCAGUGCUAAACAAAGCAUCGUGGCGGGAUCUACAUGCGAAGCGGAGUACAUAGCUGCUUCAGAAGCAGAAAAUGAAGGAGUAUGGAUGACGGAGUUCAUAUCCGAUCUAGGUGUCACACCUAGUGCAUCAGGUCCAAUGAAAAUCUUUUGUGACAAUACUGGUGCAAUUGCCUUGGCAAAGGAAUCCAGAUUUCACAAGAGAACCAAGCACAUCAAGAGACGCUAGAAUUCCAUCCGUGAACAAGUCAAGGAUGGAGACAUAGAGAUUUGCAAAAUACAUACGGAUUUUAAUGUUGCAGACCCGUUGACUAAGCCUCUCUCACGAGCAAAACAUGAUCAGCACCAAGACUCCAUGGGUGUUAGAAUCAUUACUGUGUAAUCUAGAUUAUUGACUCUAGUGCAAGUGGGAGACUGAAGGAAAUAUGCCCUAGAGGCAAUAAUAAAGUUGUUAUUUAUAUUUCCUUAUAUCAUGAAAAAUGUUUAUUAUUCAUGCUAGAAUUGUAUUAACCGAAAACUUAGUACAUGUGUGAAUACAUAGACAAACAGAGUGUCACUAGUAUGCCUCUACUUGACUAGCUCGUUGAACCAAAGAUGGUUAAGUUUCCUAGCCGUAGACAUGAGUUGUCAUUUGAUUAACGGGAUCACAUCAUUAGAGAAUGAUGUGAUUGACUUGACCCAUUCUGUUAGCUUAGCACUUGAUCGUUUGGUAUAUUGCUAUUGCUUUCUUCAUGACUUAUACAUGUUCCUAUGACUAUGUGAUUAUGCACCUCCCAAAUACCGGAGGAAAACUUAGUGUGCUACCAAACAUCACAACGUAACUAGGUGAUUAUAAAGGUGCUCUAUAGGUUUCUCUGAUGGUACUUGUUGAGUUGGCAUAGAUCAAGAUUAGUAUUUGUCACUCCGAUUGUCGGAGAGGUAUCUCUGGUCCCUCUCGGUAAUACACAUCACUAUAAGCCUUGCAAUCAAUGUGACUAAUGAGUUAGUUGCGGGAUGAUGCAUUAUGGAACGAGUAAAGAUACUUGUCGGUAACGAGAUUGAACUAGGUAUUGAGAUACCGACGAUCGAAUCUCGGGCAAGUAACAUACCGAUGACAAAGGGAACAACGUAUGUUGUUAUGCGGUUUGACCGAUAAAGAUCUUCGUAGAAUAUGUGGGAGCCAAUUUGAACAUCCAGGUUCCGCUAUUGGUUAUUGACCGGAAACGUGUCUCGGUCAUGUCUACAUAGUUCUCGAACCCAUAGGGUCUGCACACUUAACGUUCGGUGACGAUCGGUAUUAUGAGUUUAUGUGUUUUGAUGUACCGAAGGUAGUUCGGAGUCUCGGAUGUGAUCACAAACAUGACGAGGAGUCUCGAAUUGGUCGGGACAUAACGAUUGGUAUAUUGGAUGACUAUAUUCGGACACCGGAUGAGUUCUAGGGGUCACUAGAUAAUUGUCGGAGUGUCGGGGGUUAUCGGAACCCCCGGGGGAACUAAUGGGCCAACAUCGGCCUUGUGUGAGAGAGAGGAGGGGGCCUUAGGGCUGGCCGCGCGCCCCCCUUGAGGAGUCCGAAUUGGACAAGGAGGGGGCGGCGCCCCCUCUUUCCCUCCCUCUCUCCCUCUCCUUCCUUUCCCCUUCCCCCUCCUCUUAGGACUAGGAAAGGGGGAGUCCUACUCCUACUAGGAGGAGGACUCCUCCCCUCCUUGGCGCGCCCAAGGGCCGGCUGGCAUCCCCCCUUGCUCCUUUAUAUACGGGGCAGGGGGCACCCUAUAACACAACAACAGACAUUGCCUUAGCCGUGUGCGGUGCCCCCCUCCACCAUACUCCACCUCGUUCAUAUCGUUGCAGUGCUUAGGCGAAGCCCUGCGCCGGUAGCUUCAUCAUCACCGUCAUCACGCCGUCAUGCUGACGAAGCUCUCCCUCGACACUCAGCUGGAUCAAGAGUUCGUGGGACGUCACCGAGUUGAAUGUGUGCAGAUCGCGGAGGUGUCAUACUUUCGGUACUAGGAUAGGUCGGAUCGUGAAGACGUACGACUACAUCAACCGUGUUGUCAUAAUGCUUCCUCUUUCGGUGUAUGAGGGUACGUGGACAACACUCUCCCCUCUCGUUGCUAUGCAUCACCAUGAUCUUGCGUGUGUGUAGGAGAUUUUUGAAAUUACUACAUUUCCCAACAAUAAGCAGUGCUCUGGGUAAUAUGAGUCGAGUCUGAACUGAUCUCAAUCGGAAUGCUGUGGAGUGACACAAUUCUGGAGAUAUAUAAGUUUGCUAAUUGACUAGCAGUGAUAGUCUCCUUGAGUGGCAGAAAGUGCGCGACUUUUGAGAAUUGGUCGAUGACGACAAAGAUAGCAUCAUUGCCCUUUUGUGACUUGGGAAGGCCAGUGACGAAGUCCAUCUGGAUCUUAUCCCACUUCCAUUCAGGAAUCGGAAGCGGUUGCAGAAGUCCAGCCGGUUUCUGAUGUUCUGCUUUGACAUGACGGCAAACGUCACACUCUUUGAUAUAUCAAGCAAUGUAUUGCUUCAUCUUAGACCACCAGUACUUCUGACGAAUGUCUAGAUACAUCUUAGUACUUCCCUGAUGAAUAUAGAGAGGGGUGUCAUGCGUUUCUUUCAUCACCUUCUUCGUCAUAAGCUCGAACUAGGGUACUAGAAUGCUAUCUCUGAAGUAUAAGGUUCCAUCUUCACCAAGUGAGAAAUCUCUGGAUUUCUCUAAGGCAAGAUCCUUUUUCAUCAGAUCAACGUGAGCAUCUUUGGCUUGUGCAAACUUAAUAGCUUUGAGAAGAGUUGGUUCCAUGACAAGUUUAUUUAGGGAACCAUGUGGAACUAGUUGAAGGUUCAGCUUACAAAGUUCUUCAUAAAGACAGGGUUGAGCUUUAUGGACCAUGUGGUUAUUGCAAUAAGACUUGCAUCUCAAGGCAUCAGCCAUUACAUUAGCCUUGCCAGGGGUAUAGGAUAUACCGUAGUUGUGUCAGCAAUAUCUUCCAUCCAUCGCUACUGACGGAGGUUCAGAUCUGGCUGAGUAAACAAGUACUUCAGACUCUGAUGAUCGUUGAAGAUCUCACAAUGAUUACCAAGAAGGUACUGUCGCCAUAGCUUUAGUGCAUAGAUAACCGCAGCAAGCUCGAGGUCGUGACCUGGGUAGUUCUCUUCGUGAGGACACACUUGACGGGAGGCAUAAGCAAUCACUCUGCGCUCUUGCAUUAGGACACAGCCUAAUCCUUGUCGUGAAGCGUCGCAAUAGAUGACGAAGUCCUUGCGAGAAUCAGGGGAGCAAGCACUGGAGCAGAUGUCAGCUUGUCCUUGAGUGCCUAGAAACUUUCCUGACAUUUGUCUAUCCAAUCGAACUUAAUGCCCUUGUGAAGCAGAUUGGUAAGUGGCUUGGCGAUCUUGGAGAAGUUCUCUACAAAGCGGCGACAAUAGCUGGCUAGUCCAAGAAAGCUUCUAACCUGCUUGACUGUCUUCGGAGGGUUCCAGUCAAGAAUAGCCUGAACGCGCUCUGGAUUAACGGCAAUACCAUCCUUGGAUAUGACAUGCAUAAGGUAGGUUACUUCGGGAAGCCAGAAUUCUCACUUGUAAUACUUGGCAUAAAGUUGAUGCUCUCGAUGCUUUUCCAGAACAAGUCGAAGAUGUUCAACAUGUUCUUCUUUGUUCUUCGAAUAUACUAGGAUGUCAUCCAGAUAGACUACGACGAACUUGUCGAGGUAUUCCAUGAAUAUAUAGUUCAUCCGACGAGAAAAUGUGGCCGGAGCAUUGGUGAAGUUGAAAGACACGACGGUUUACUCGUAAGAACCAUAACGAGUGACGAAAGCGGUCUUGGGAAUAUCCUCUCCACGAACAUGGAUCUGGUGGUAUCCCAACCUCAAGUCGAGUUUAAAGAACACUGAUGAACCAGCCAGUUGAUCAUAUAGAUCAUUGAUCCGAGGAACCGGAUAUUUGUUCGGAAUAGUUGCUUGGUUGAUAGGACGAUAGUCUUGGACCAAACGGUUUGUUCCGUCCUUCUUCUUGAUAAAGAGGGAAGGUGCUCCCCAAGUAGAGGAGCUUGGACGAAUGAAACCCUUGCGAAGAGAUUUGUCGAUAUCCUCCUUAAGCUCAAGGAGUUCAUGAGGUGGCAUCUUGUAGGGUCGUUUGGCGAUAGGAACGGUACCUGGUUUCAAGUCGAUGACGAACUCAACAGCUCGAGUAGGGGGUAUUCCUGGGAGUUCUUCUGGAAAGGCAUCUUGGAAGUGGCGAACGACUGGAAUCUUUUCAAUUCCCUCAAGAGGUGUUGCGUUCAACGCAUUCACGAGAUAGAGUCGGGCUUUGGCAUUUUGAACCAGAUGAGCAUUGGAGCUUACUAUCUCAUCUGAAGGGUGUAGAAGGUGGACGGUUUUAGUGGCGCAAACAAUAGAAGACAUAUGUGCUUUCAACCAAUCCAUUCCUAGAAUGAGAUCAAUAUUUGAAGACUUCAGAAUAAUGGAGGAGGCAAAAAAUUCCAACCCUUCGAUUUCAACGGAAACAUUGUGGCUAACCAUGGAGGUUUGGCAUUGACCCGCAUGGAUUUUUACCACUAAUGGAGUGUGCAUAUCUUCGUAUUUAAUGCCAUGCAUGAAUACAAAAUUUUCUGAUAUGAAAGAAUGUGAUGCUCCUGAAUUGAAUAAAACAGAAGCCGGUACUGAAUUAACGAGAAGAGUACCCAUCAUAGUAGCAAGCUGGUCUUGAGCUUCAUUCAAAUCAACAUGAUUAGCCUGACCACGACCAUAAGGUCUGGCAUUGCCAUUGCGAGGUUGGUUGUUAUAGCCAGUUGAAGGCAGAGCCAACUAGCUCUGAUUCUGAGGGCAGUUCCUAGAACAGUGACCUGGAAGGCCACACUUGAAGCACAUACCAUCAUUGGGAUUGGGAGCAGGAGCUCGAGGUGGUGCAGUCCGAAGAGGCCGCCUCGUUGGUGGAGGAGGCAAGUGUGGAGCAGCAUAGGACUGUCUUGGAGCAGGUGCAGUUGGACGAUACAUGUUGUGGGGGAUCCAUAUUCGAUGCUUCUACACUGAUGGGCCCGAAGAUGAACCAGUGUCACAUCUGCGCCUGAGGGAUCCCUAGUAUUCCUGAAGACCGGUCUCAACCUAAAUAGCCUUGUUCACCAAGGUGGUGAAGUCGGCAAAGUCAUGAACGAGCAGUCUUAGCUUGAUAUCAGGGUGAAGUCCAUGACAGAACUUUUCUUGCCUACGAGCAUCGGUUGCAAUGUCUUCUUUAGCAUAUCGUGAAAAGUCCAAAAAUUCCCACUGAUAAGCAUCUACAGACUUCUUGCCUUGGGUGAGGUUGCGUAACUCGCGCUUCUUCCUAUCCAUGAUUCCCUGAGGAAUGAAACAAGCACGGAAGGCAGCUUGGAAAUCCGGCCAAGUGAUGACCGUUCUAGCAGGUAGGGUACGCCUGUGGUUAUCCCACCAUUGAGCAGCAGGACCCUUGAGGAAGAAGGAUGCGAAGGUGACAUAGCUAGCAGGGGCUACAUCAACAGACUCCACCUCAUAGGUGAUAUCACGGAGCCAGUCAUCAGAAUCUAGUGGCUGUGUUGAGCUGCAGUAGAUAGUUGGGUUGAGGCGCAUGAAAUCCUGCAGAGUUACUGGGGCUGGCUGUUGGUUCAUAUUGGGGCGACGAAACUUAGCCAUCAUUCCUUCAAUGAAUAGACAAUUCAGCUCAAACUAUUGCAUCAUUUCGGCCAUGAAUUCAGGCGGUGGUGGAGCAUUGCCACCAUAGCCAUGACCAUAAGGUCUAACCAUCCUGCUAACAUGUAACAGGGGUAGUUCAGCAUCGAGCAUUUGUAAAGUCAAAGGGUCAUUCAUGAUAAAACAUGCAUAAUGGAAGAGGUACGAUGGAUACCACAUAGUAGUCAACACGACAGUGUGUGUACUAUUCAAAAUACUAUUCUAUGGAAUAAGUGGCUUAUCCAACUUUGGGGUGAAUGUGGUCAUGGGAUCCUAAUGUUAGAGUUAGUAAAUUCGUUUAACCCGAAUGGAAGAGAGAUCAUAAUCCCAGAGUAAAGAUCAAGGAUUAAAAGAUCCUAAUACCACCCAAUGGUGAUGUGGGCCCGUAAGACACCCAGCCAUGUUAGUAAAAGUUUUUUGUAGUGACUAGAGUCGAAUUCGGCCAAGGAGUUGGAAGGGGGAUACCUACAGGCAACCGACUCUGAUACCAACUUGUGACACCCCCGAUUCAAUCAUACACUAAUCAUACACGCAACUGUGUACGAUCAAGAUAAGGGACUCAUGGGAAGAUAUCACAACACGACUCUAGACACAAAUUAAAAUAAUGCAAGCUUUAUAUUACAAGCCAGGGUCCUCGAGGGCUCGAAUACAUAAGCUCGAAAACUAACGAGUCAUCGAAAGCAACAAUAUCUGAGUACAGACAUAAGUUAGACAAGUCUGCCUUAAGAAGGCUAGCACAAAAGCAACAUCGAUCAAAAAGGCAAGGCCUCCAGCCUGGGAGCCUCCUAACUACUCCUGGUCGUCGGUGGCCGUCACGUAGUAGUAGGCACCCUCGGGGUAGUAGUAGUCAUCAGUGGUGUCGUCUGACUCCUAGGAUUCGUCAUCUGGUCACAACAAUUGGGUAUGGGGGAAAAGAGGUAGCAAAGCAACCGUGAGUACUCAUCCAAAGUACUCGCAAGACUUACAUCAGAUCGAUACUAAAUAUGCAUCAGUAUCAAAGGAAUGGCAUGUAUCUAUGGACUAAACUGUGGAAUGCCAGAAGAGAAGGGGAAAGCCUAGCCUAUCGAAGACUAGCAUCUUCAAGCAGCUCCAAGCAUCUUGCAGCAUCAGAAGAGAUAAGAGUGGCAUAUUAUAAUAUUAGUAAGUAUGUUGUAACAUUACCCUGAGAUCACUAUGAGGAAACAAUCCUGGAGCCAUCAUUUCCAUUACAUGCCUCAGCAUCAAGUUCUAGUUGUAUUGACCGGGAUACAACUCCUAGUGUCCGUUACCGUGGAGCCGGCUAUUCGAAUAGAUAGAAUUCUUCCCUGCAGGGGUGCACCAACUUACCCAACAUGCUCAAUCAACUCUGGCUGGACACACCAUCAGGUCAUGACCGCCCUAGGCUAAUCAACACACCGCAAUCCUACCUAGGCUCACCAGACAGGCCAGCACACCGGUCUACACCCUAAGCGCGCAGGGGUCUUGGGCCCAUCGCCCUUUCCACUCCCGCGCGUUGCAAAUGCGGACAGUGAGUAGACCUAGCCACCUCCUUAAAAAGGCAGGUGCUUACGCAGUCCAACCCGGCGCGCGCCGCUCCAUCACAUAUGUCCAUUGAGCUUUCGGCUGAUACAUACAACGCAGAGUGCCCAUACUUAUUCCCGGAUGGUGGUUAGUGCGAAAAAGGCCAGAGGCCUACUCGGAUCAAAUAUCCAAACUGCUAGUGUCUUGGUAGUGCGGUAACGAUCAAUGAUCCACGAUAUGUGGUCCCGUCGCCCUGUCUCACGGACUUGUGGCAAGGACUAAGAAUGCCCGGCCACGCUGCGUGGAAAACUUGCGAGUAUCCUCCAGAUAAACCCGACUUCACAUCACUCGCGGGUACCCCUCGGGGCCGAGCCAAUGUCAUCAUGGUUUUAUGGUAAGUCAAAGUAACCCUGUGUCUGAAACAGUAAGGGGGAAACCUGAGGAAUCACCCUCGAUGGAUUCCCACUCGAUGUAACCAUCAAGGUGGACUUGGAGGAAUCACCCUCGUUGGUUUACACUUGAGGGGUUGCACGAUAGAGUCAUUAUCGGGAGUGGUCAAGGAGGAAUCAUCCUCGAUGACAAUGACCGAAUAGCUACACUACAGGGUUAACAUUAGAAGUGCUGAUGAGGUAUCACCCUCGAUACUCGAUAGUAACUCUGCAGGGUCGUUCAACUAAGGGGGUGAUGUGCGGUGUCGGGGCCUGGACGUCGAUCAUGUUGAUCGAGUCAUUGAACAUUAAGCGGGGCAACUGGGACAAGGUGGGGGUCACUAAUGGAUGUCUAACCAACCUAUACUAAGCAGUUUAGAAUAGGCAGGUAAGGUAAGAAAGCAUGUAACAAAAACAGGCUAUGCAUGAGAAUAGGAUCAUACAAAAAGCAGUAGCAGUUCUAAUGUGAGCAUUAGAUGGAAAGAAAUGGGCGAUAUCAGAAUGUUCAAGGGGGGUUUGCUUGCCUAGAAGCUCUGUUGAGAAGGAAGAAGGGUCGUCGGUGACGUAGUCGAUCACAGGGGCAACAUCUAUGUCGGGGUCUACCGGAGAGAAGAGGGGGAAGAAAUAGUAGAUACAGAGUAAAUAGAUGCAUAACUAAGCAUGACAUGAUGAUAUGCAAAGCUAGGGUAUUCUAACGCAGUGCUACACGUUGUAUACGGAGGGGGAAAACAUCCGAGGAUGAUUUCCCGAUGUUAGACGGAUUCCGGACAGACGAAAGAGAGGGGAUGUUUCCAUGUUCAGCAUGCUAGGGGCAUGUGACAGAUGAACGUACCGCAUAUUCGGGUUCAUUGGAUUUUUCUGAGCAACUUUCAUGUAGAAAACAUUGUCAUCGCAGAUACGAUUUAUUAUCUACGAUUUUCUAAAGUUUUAAUAGUUUUCUGAAAUUAUUUAAAUUACAGAAUUAACAUAAAAGGAAUAUGGCGUUAGCAUUGCAUGGGGAUGAUGUCAGCAAUCAAUAGACUCGCUGACCAGGUCAAGCCUGACCUGUGGGUCUAGUAGGACCCACAUGUCAUGGAAAGAGAGCCAACAUAGUUUUAAAACUAACAAAGCAGAGUUAUUUAGCAAGUAGGCCCCACCUGUCAUAGACUAAUUAGCUAAAAUAAUUAGUUUUAAUUAUUAAAACAUUUAAUUAGAGGAUUAAGCGGUAGGGCCCGCACGUCAGCUUCACAGAGAUGCCCAUUCAGCACGUUGACUGGUCAAGCCAGUCAACGGGGACUCGUGGGGCCCAGCAUUAGUGUCUCAGGGGGCCCACUUGUCACCCAAAACGCGGCGGUGCAUCGCCGGAAUGGUCCGAUUCGCUCUACGCAUCACCAAAUCGUGCGCGGUAACGUGCAUUCGAACGACCGCAGUGCUCCGAGUCGAUUGGUGGCGGCGCCGGACCAAAUGGUCGUACCAAAUGGGACCGAUGAUGAGCUACGGCGGCCGCGCAUACGGGACCUCGACGGAAACUAUGCUAGGAGGCACGUGCUCGGGCCCGUUGGGCUCCUGGGAGCACCAGGAGCUCGACGGUGGCCUCACGUGGCGGUGACGUCGACCACAAUGACGGCCACAAGCUCAUCGGUGGCGAGCAGAGCACGGACGUGGCGACAGCUAGCUACGACGUGUGAGAAACCUAACGAAGAGGAGCAGGUGUUGGAGGAGCUCACCGAGCGGCACGCCGAUGGCCCUUGGUAGUUUAGGAGCAGCAGAGCAGAGCAGAUCGGCGGCGCGUCGGGAUCUGAUGAGGAAGAAGACGGCUUGCCAGCGAUGCAGGGCUCCUCGUCCCUCGUACGUUGUUGAGGAAGAAGUGGCCAACGUUGAUGAGCCGAGAGGACGAGACGGAGAGACGAAUGGGGCGCAGUGGUCGCGUGGACGACGGAGAGUGUCGGUGAUUGUGUCGGACGAGGGGGGAAGGGGUUCUGGAGAGCGAGGGAGAGAGCGACCGAUAUGGAGAGGGGAGUGGGUGGAGGUAGGUGGGGCAGGACUCAAGGAGCCAGAGGGGGCUCUUAUCCACCCGCGGCGUUGCCAGCGGGGUGGUCGGGUGGCGACAAGCCCCUGUAGCGGCACGCACCAGGGGAACAGGAGGGAGGGGAGAGCGACCGGUGUGAGGUAGGUGGGCCGGCCUGCUGGGGUGGGCCGAAGCCCAAGGGGAGGCCAGGGGCUCUCCCACCCCUUCUUCUUUCCUUUUUUUUCUUUUCUUUUUCUUUUUUUCAGUAGCUUUUGCAUUUUAUUUUAGCCACUAAUGACUUCGCAAAAUUAUGCCACUUGCCAAAACAAUUUCAAAGAAUUAUUGUGCACUGCCACAAAAAGAUUGCAAUUUUUAUAAAUUAAAAAGGCAUUUAAUUUAUCUCUUAGGUCGCUGUUUUAGGUAGUUUAGGUCACUUAAACAUUUUGCGAAAAAGUUUAGUUCACUACCAAUAUUACUUAUGGAUUAUUUGGCACAUGAUGAACAUUUUACUUUUCAUGUUUGAGCAAAUUUUGAAUUUUCACUGAGAAUUGGAAAUUGAAUUCAACUGGAAUUUGAAAUGAGAGGGAACCAAGGAUUAUCAAACACUUGUUUUGCAAAAUGAUUAACUUAAAACCGGGGUUAUUGUAGCAUCAUUACACAGGGGUGUUACAAUAUGAUUAAUUGAACUUAAAUUUAUCAUGAACUUAGUCCUGAUAGGUUUUGCAUAUCUAUGUUGUAGAUCAAUGG